rnacentral:rRNA from 1 species
UUUGAUUAUGGCUCAGGACGAACGCUGGCGGCGUGCUUAACACAUGCAAGUCGAACGAGAAUCUACUGAAAGAGUUUUCGGACAAUGGAUGUAGAGGAAAGUGGCGGACGGGUGAGUAACGCGUGAGGAACCUGCCUUGAAGAGGGGGACAACAGUUGGAAACGACUGCUAAUACCGCAUGACGCAUAGAGGUCGCAUGAUCUUUAUGCCAAAGAUUUAUCGCUUCAAGAUGGCCUCGCGUCUGAUUAGCUAGUUGGCGGGGUAACGGCCCACCAAGGCGACGAUCAGUAGCCGGACUGAGAGGUUGAACGGCCACAUUGGGACUGAGAUACGGCCCAGACUCCUACGGGAGGCAGCAGUGGGGAAUAUUGGGCAAUGGGCGCAAGCCUGACCCAGCAACGCCGCGUGAAGGAAGAAGGCUUUCGGGUUGUAAACUUCUUUUAAGAGGGAAGAGUAGAAGACGGUACCUCUAGAAUAAGCCACGGCUAACUACGUGCCAGCAGCCGCGGUAAUACGUAGGUGGCAAGCGUUGUCCGGAUUUACUGGGUGUAAAGGGCGUGCAGCCGGGUCUGCAAGUCAGAUGUGAAAUCCAUGGGCUCAACCCAUGAACUGCAUUUGAAACUGUAGAUCUUGAGUGUCGGAGGGGCAAUCGGAAUUCCUAGUGUAGCGGUGAAAUGCGUAGAUAUUAGGAGGAACACCAGUGGCGAAGGCGGAUUGCUGGACGAUAACUGACGGUGAGGCGCGAAAGUGUGGGGAGCAAACAGGAUUAGAUACCCUGGUAGUCCACACUGUAAACGAUGAAUACUAGGUGUGCGGGGACUGACCCCCUGCGUGCCGCAGUAAACACAAUAAGUAUUCCACCUGGGGAGUACGAUCGCAAGGUUGCAACUCAAAGGAAUUGACGG